GUUUGAUCAUGGCUCAGGACGAACGCUGGCGGCGUGGAUUAGGCAUGCAAGUCGCGCGACGGACGGGCUUCGGCCUGUUACGGAGCGGCGAACGGGUGAGUAACACGUGAACAAUCUGUCCUCACGUUCCGGAUAAUUGGCCGAAAGGCCUUGUAAUACGGGCGAGGGUCCUCUGGAGGCAUCUUCGGGGGAAGGAACGCGCAAGUGGCGCGAGGAGGAGUUCGCGGCCUAUCAGUUAGUUGGUGAGGUAAUGGCUCACCAAGACGACGACGGGUAGCUGGUCUGAGAGGAUGGUCAGCCACAUUGGAACUGAGACACUGUCCAGACUCCUACGGGAGGCUGCAGUCGAGAAUCUUGGGCAAUGCACGAAAGUGUGACCCAGCGACGCCGCGUGGAGGAUGAAGGCCCUUGGGUUGUAAACUCCUUUUAGAGGAGAAGAACGCACCGUAAGGUGCUUGACGGUACCCUCUGAAUAAGCCACGGCUAACUACGUGCCAGCAGCCGCGGUAAUAACCUAAAUAGC
rnacentral:rRNA from 1 species